GUACCAUCCACUAUGGCGCAAAAGAUUAAUGGUGCUUAGGCCUACUAGGCCUAGGCCUAUUAAAGAUGUACUUAAUUAACUUCAUUUAAUGCAUCUUCUGGAGAAUUUCGAAAGGGAGAAGAUUGCCAGUGACAAAAUCUCCACGCUGUCAGAUGCCCAACUUGAAAAUUUGAGUGUGACAACAAUUGGUGAUAGGCACCGACUAAGAAUCAUUAGCUCAACCCGCCCUUGAUAAACUAACGUUACGUUAUCUCACUAUAUUAAUUGGAUUAACACAUUAUCAAGGAUAAGUACUGAGUGUUUAACACUGGUGUCCUUGGAUUCAAUUAUAAGAAACUGAUGAGGACUCUGGAUUGACACAGAAGUGUCCUAAAUGCCAAAAUAACAUUUCAUUCUGUGUUUUAAAGAAACAUUUGGCAAGCUGUGCAAGUAGCAGGUUGAAGAAAGUGAUACAUUGUAUGAUCCAGACCUCACUCAUAGUCAUACUCCUAAUGACAUUCAUGAAGGCGGAUCAAGAACUUCAGACGUCUACUUGACCAUUUUUGAGCUGAACCGCACUACACUUACCAACCAAGCAGUAUGUGACAUUUGUGUGCAGCUGACAGGGAAGAAUAUAAUAUAUUGUAAAUAAAGUAAUAUAAUGUAAAUAAUUAAAUGAAUGAAAAAUAAUUUAAUAUAUUUGUAAUUAAUGUAUAAUGCAGUAAUUGUUAAUAAACAGUUUCUAUGGUUCUAUUCAAUAAAU